rnacentral:rRNA from 1 species
UACAGAGGGUGCAAGCGUUAUCCGAAUUUAUUGGGCGUAAAGCGUUUCGUAGGCUUUUAGGCAAGUUACUUUUCAAAGACCACGGCUCAACCGGGGAAAGGGAGGUAAUACUACCUGAAUAUCUGAAUUAUGGUGGGGUUUCUGGAACUGACGGUGUAGGAGUGAAAUCCGUUGAUAUCGUCAGGAACUCCGAGGGCGAAGGCAGGAAACUAACCAUAUAUUGACGCUGAGGAACGACAGCUAGGGGAGCGAAUGGG